AAUAAUUUUAUUUGUCGUUUUUUCAUGUUCAACAUUUGACCAUUCGUCUUAUUUAAAUUUUUUUACGAUUUAUAUUUUUAUUAUUAUUAGAUAAUAAGAUAUGAAUAGUAUUUUAUACGUGACUAAUUUUUUUAGAUUUUUGCACAAAUUUUUUAAAUAAGACGAAUGGUCAAACGUUGGACAUGAAAAAAC
rfam:Oryza brachyantha chromosome 1, whole genome shotgun sequence.